rnacentral:rRNA from 1 species
AGUGGCAGACGGGUGAGGAACACGUGGGAAUAUCCCCUUCAGUUCGGAAUAACUCAGGGAAACUUGAGCUAAUACCGGAUACGUCAGAGAUGAGAAAGAUUUAUCGCUGAAGGAUUAGCCCGCGUCUGAUUAGCUAGUUGGUGAGGUAAUGGCUCACCAAGGCGACGAUCAGUAGCUGGUCUGGGAGGAUGAUCAGCCACAUUGGGACUGAGACACGGCCCAAACUCCUACGGGAGGCAGCAGUGGGGAAUAUUGGACAAUGGGCGAGAGCCUGAUCCAGCCAUGCCGCGUGAGUGAUGAAGGCCUUCGGGUUGUAAAGCUCUUUUGUCCGGGAAGAUAAUGACUGUACCGGAAGAAUAAGCCCCGGCAAACUUCGUGCCAGCAGCCGCGGUAAUACGAAGGGGGCUAGCGUUGUUCGGAAUCACUGGGCGUAAAGCGCACGUAGGCGGCUUGUUAAGUCAGGGGUGAAAGCCUGGAGCUCAACUCCAGAACUGCCCUUGAUACUGGCAAGCUUGAGUGUGGAAGAGGUUGGUGGAACUCCGAGUGUAGAGGUGAAAUUCGUAGAUAUUCGGAAGAACACCAGUGGCGAAGGCGGCCAACUGGUCCAUUACUGACGCUGAGGUGCGAAAGCGUGGGGAGCAAACAGGAUUAGAUACCCUGGUAGUCCACGCCGUAACGAUGGAUGCUAGCCGUCAGGGAG